rnacentral:lncRNA from 1 species
GAUCAUAUUUUGCCACCCCUAUACACGCCCAAUAAUAUCUAAUACAUACAAUCCUUAUAUAUGAACUUUAGAAAAUCUUUUAAUUCGCAAAUAUUUCCAUGUUAGUGGCUGCCUUUAGGAGCAUAAGAUUUUAAAAUUAAUCCAACACACAUAUCAUAACAAUACAUACCAUAGAACAAUCAAUUAAACAAAACUUUGUACCAGAAAAUGUUCAAUUUGACUUGAAUAAAUAUAUGAAAAAUGAAUCGGUAACACUGAUCUUAACACCAAAAGUAGAAUAAUCCAUUAAAUUAGCAGUUUUCAACUUUGACAGUCUUUAC